rnacentral:rRNA from 1 species
AGGUGCGAUCAUACCAGCACUAAUGCACCGAAUUCCAUCGGAACUACGAAGUUAAACAUGCUUGGGUGGAAGUAGUACUAAGAUGGGCCUUGUCAUAGGACUUCCAUAGACACAGGCA